AUGAUUUUUUUAAAUGUAAUGUUUCAUGAAUAUGAAAACAAAGUCAGAAAUGGUGUACUAGUAAACCAUUCUUCUCCAUAUUUUUGGUCAAAUUUGACAGAAAAGCACAGAAAAUUGAAGUGCAGCAGCAUGCAGUCAACAAAAGGAGAUUUUCAAAACUUGCCUCUUAUGGAUACCAGAGAGGAAACCAGGGCAAGCAAUUAA